GUGUUUGCAUGAGGAAAAUGUGUUAACAAUACUGACAUAGAUGCACAAACAUGAAUAGAUUGAAAAGAGCACCCGAGGAAGCAUUCAAGGCUGUUUUCUGCCACAUAAUCUCUGGUUGCCAAUGGACAAUCACUUUAAAUGGAAUCACCGUCGCCAUGACAGCUCAAGAAUGUCAACAAUAUUAUAGGGGGCUUGGGCUCAGCUUCCCUCGGCUUACUGAGAAGAAGAAAAUACCGCGUAAGGUCUCCCCCUUUGUUCUCCACAUCAAGUCCCAGUCCCAGGAUGACUUGCACAUCUCGAUCCACGAAGGGUAGAAAGUGCUCAUGCCACCGUGCCACAGAUGAAGUCCUCGGGGACGGUCUGCUUCCUGGCUGCAUUGUCCGAGGAGAGCAUCCUGUUUAGUCCAGCUGGACGAGCUGCAGAAGAAUGGCUGGCAACACCGACAAUGAUGGAUGAAAAAUUAUUGAAUUUUA